GGCCCCAUCGUCUAGUGGUUAGGACAUCGGCCUCUCACGCCGGUAACACGAGUUCAAGUCCCGUUGGGGUCACCA
rnacentral:tRNA from 1 species